ACAGUUCAAAUAAAGUAGGCUUCAUCUGAUUGGCGAGUUACAUUACACAUUCACAGCCAUCGUGCGAACCCAAGCAACUGAUUAACGUAAGAUGCGACUUGUACUCAUCUCCUUGCUGGUCGUGUUGGUGUCUGGGACUGUGAGAGCAGAGAACGACGUGGACAACAGCGAGUCUGUAGAGGUGGAUCGUCGUCAAGGACUGACCCUUUUCGCACCCUCGUGUUACAUCUAUUGUUUAAAUUAUAACCCUGACGAUCCUUUGUGUAAACACGGGUGUUAUUUUUAAAGAAAAUGCGGCGCGUGAGAGUUAACCUGAAAUCGUAGAAUAUAAUCUUGAGUCUAAAGACAGACCGACUGCUUUUGUAAACACAACAAUAAUAAAUCAAUGAAUUUUUGAAACCUG